GGCCUCAGGGACCAGAGUCGCCUCCGUGAGGAAGGAGGCCAGACCCUGCCAGUGCAAGCUUCCGUUUUCCAGAGCAUGGGACCCGAGGUUCACACAUAGGAACUUCCAGGAUACUUGGAAUAGAGGUGGCAAAGGUUUGGGCGUCAGGAUGAUGUUUGUUUCCAAACUGAGCUGGGAAAGUGUUGGCGAGCUGCUUUUAUGACUCCACAUUUUUCAUAAACUCCAACAGCCAAUGCUGAGCCAAGACUGCGUGUACGCUGAUGAAUUCCUCGUGGCUGUGUUACGGGGUCCUGGGCGGCACGGCCACGCACUCGGGACGUGGACGCUGCGCCCGCCCGUGGCCUGGGGCUCUCACUGCACAACGCUCGGGGGGGGGGGUACCCAGGCCUCCCCCUUUCUCUGUCCUGAAAGAUGGCUUCAGUGUCUUUCCACGGAGACUCCACCCUUGUAACCCAAAGUCUCCCUCCGUCCCGCAAACAGCAGAGGGAAGCGGGAUCCGCGGCCACGUA